CAGCCCAACUUCAUAAACAAAUUUGGACACCUCAUUCUGCAAGAAGGUGAUGAUUUAGAUUUACACUGUACAAUACACGGAGAGCCAAGGCCAAAUGUCAUUUGGACAAAAGAUGGCAUCAGAAUGGCAGCAAGAGAAAUAAGUAUUGAGAAAUUAGGGGACAUCUACUACCUUGUAAAAAGAAAUGCAGUUGUUGCUGAUACUGGAAAAUAUAUCUGUCUUGCCACUAAUGAAUUAGGGGAGGCUCACUGCUCAGCUUUCAUCAGAGUAAUAGAGAAAAAUAAAAGUGACCUAUCCCCAACACAAGACUAAAUCAAAUCAAGAGAAAGGCCAUUUGCUGGGAGAAAUGAGGACCGCCACACCCUGAGCGGUACAAGGUCAAGAUCGAUAUUGCUUGAGAGGUCAAAAUCAAACCAAAAAAACAUUCCAAGAGGUAACUUCAGUUCAAGUUCCUUUUGCCUUUGGAAGCACAGGAAGAGCCCCUCAAGUGUUUUCUUUAUAAAGUUUUCUGACUAUUGUCUUCUUUUCAUAUUGUGUGUUUUUUCAUCAAUAAAGCAGCUAACGUUAACCAUGAGGCAAAGGGCCACAAGCAGACUCAGGUUUUCAAACUCACCACACUGCCUCUUCCAAAGAGGCAAAACUGAAAGCAGAGGAACCCUAUAAGUGGUUGUGAUUUAUGAAGUAAAGAUUAUACAUGGUAAGGAAAUUCUCCUCGUGAUUAUGUACAUUGUACAUAAUACACUGAUGGCCAAUGGCUUUUUCAGAUAAUUAAGGUUAUCUCAGGUAUCAGGAGGGGACAAUAAUGGGGUAUGGGCUAAUGCUGCCUACUAAACAGAAUUUCUGAUGAAUAAGAAUUUAAAAGUCAAUCUGUAGUCAGUCCCCUCACUGGACACAUACUGUGUGGCCACAGGGAAGCUCCAGUAUUGUAGUGUGUAGGAAGGUGUGGAACCUUCUGGCAAAUGAAGCUCUCACAGCUAUAAAUGUGGCAAGAUACGGGACUUUAUGGGGUUUUA